rnacentral:rRNA from 1 species
ACAGCAGUCGCCACGGUAAUACAGAGGGUGCGAGCGUUAAUCGGAUUUACUGGGCGUAAAGCGUGCGUAGGCGGCUUUUUAAGUCGGAUGUGAAAUCCCUGAGCUUAACUUAGGAAUUGCAUUCGAUACUGGGAAGCUAGAGUAUGGGAGAGGAUGGUAGAAUUCCAGGUGUAGCGGUGAAAUGCGUAGAGAUCUGGAGGAAUACCGAUGGCGAAGGCAGCCAUCUGGCCUAAUACUGACGCUGAGGUACGAAAGCAUGGGGAGCAAACAGGAUUAGAUACCCGAGUAGUCCCUGUCUCUUAUAC